rfam:Triticum aestivum genome assembly, contig: Triticum_aestivum_CS42_TGACv1_scaffold_050294_1BS
GAAGUACUCCCUCCAUCCCAAAAUUCUUGUCUUAGAUUCGUCUAGAUAUAGAUGUAUCUAAUACUAAAACGUGACUUGAGCAUCCGUAUUUACACAAAUCUAAGACAAGAAUUUUGGGACGGAGGGAGUAGUAU